rnacentral:rRNA from 1 species
CGCCUCUUGAAAAAAAUAUAAGAGGUCCAGCCUGCCCAGUGACUUAGUUCAACGGCCGCGGUACCCUAACCGUGCGAAGGUAGCAUAAUCACUUGUUCUUUAAAUAGGGACUUGUAUCAACGGCAUCACGAGGGUUAUACUGUCUCCUUUUCUAAUCAAUGAAACUGAUCUCCCCGUGAAGAAGCGGGGAUAAACUUAUAAGACGAGAAGACCCCAUGGAGCUUUAAACCAAUUAUAUACCUCUUCAACUUAAAUCAUGCUAGUCUCAGAAUAAUAUAUAAUAGUUUUAGAUUGGGGGGAUCACGGAGUAAAACUAAACCUCCUUGACAAACGGACCUUGCCCUUAUUUAAGAAGUACCCUUCUAAAAAUCAACAAAUUGAUGUUUAAUGACCCAAAUUUUUGAUCAACGAACCAAGUUACCCUGGGGAUAACAGCGCAAUCUACUUCAAGAGCUCAUAUCGACAAGUGGGUUUACGACCUCGAUGUUGGAUCAGGAUAUCCUAGUGGUGCAGCCGCUACUGACGGUUCGUUUGUUCAACGAUUAAAAUCCU